rnacentral:rRNA from 1 species
UGGGGAAUAUUGGGCAAUGGGCGAAAGCCUGACCCAGCAACGCCGCGUGAGUGAUGAAGGCCUUCGGGUUGUAAAACUCAUUGGACAGGGACGAAGAAAGUGACGGUACCUGUAGAACAAGCCACGGCUAACUACGUGCCAGCAGCCGCGGUAAUACGUAGGUGGCGAGCGUUAUCCGGAUUUACUGGGCGUAAAGGGCGUGUAGGCGGCUAGAUAAGUGUGAUGUUUAAAUCCAAGGCUUAACCUUGGGGUUCAUUACAAACUGUUUAGCUUGAGUGCUGGAGAGGAUAGUGGAAUUCCUAGUGUAGCGGUAAAAUGCGUAGAUAUUAGGAGGAACACCGGUGGCGAAGGCGGCUAUCUGGACAGUAACUGACGCUGAGGCGCGAAAGCGUGGGGAGCAAACAGG